rnacentral:lncRNA from 1 species
CUAAUCUUAUCAUGAGUAAUGAACAAUGAGAGAAAUUGGUUAAUGGUCUUCUAUUGGAUUCAUUAAGGGAAAUAGUUUCAUCUCUAUCUGAUAGUUUAGCCAUUGUCCUACUUGAAAUUUGAAAUAAGCUGAGUGAAAUCUCCUUCAGCACAGUACAGUGAUUGUAUGGCUGUAUAUAUCACUGUUUUAGAUAACUAAAUAAAUAUAAAACUCCAAGGAACCCUGAAGCAGAAUUUCAGUAGCUGGGGCCUGAGAAUCAUUGAUGAUAUCAUGAUGCAUUGGUGAUUGUGAUGCAUAGGUUCUGAACGCACUAAUAUCCAUCAACAGCAUGUGCCCUGCCCCUGACAACUUGCAAUAGUUAAACGUUUUCAAGAACAAUGCUGCGCUGCUCAUUGAAAAGAUAUCCACAGGUACUAAACUUCAGGUCAGGAAACAUGGCUUCCUCUGCAGGUUGCAAAGAAGCCAGCUCUAUCUUCAAAAUGCAAACUCUCUGAGAAUAAAUUGUCAUAUGGCAAAUAAAUUGUCA